UAGUUAGUUGAUGUAGACCCGAAACCAAGUGACCUACCCAUGACCAGGUUGAAGGUGCGGUAAAGCGCACUGGAGGACCGAACCCACGUAAGUUAAAAAUUGCGGGGAUGAGUUGUGGGUAGCGGUGAAAUUCCAAACGAACUUGGAGAUAGCUGGUUCUCUCCGAAAUAGCUUUAGGGCUAGCCUGGUGCUAGAAAGAUCAUGGAGGUAGAGCUCUGUUUGGACGAAGGGCCCGUCAGGGGUUACUGAAUUCAGAUAAACUGCGAAUUCCAUAGAUCAAGGCACUGGAGUCAGACUGCGAGUGAUAAGAUCCGUAGUCGAAAGGGAAACAGCCCAGAUCACCAGUUAAGGUCCCCAAAUCUAUGCUAAGUGGAAAAGGAUGUGGAGUUGCGUAGACAACUAGGAUGUUGGCUCAGAAGCAGCCAUCAUUAAAAGAGUGCGUAAUAGCUCACUAGUCGAGUGACGCUGCGCCGAAAAUUUACCGGGGCUAAGCAUAGUACCGAAACUGUGGAUGUGCAGUAAUGCACGUGGUAGGAGAGCGUUCUAAAUGCGGCGAAGUUUAACUGCGAAGAUAAAUGGAGCGUUUAGAAGUGAGAAUGCCGGUAUGAGUAGCGCAAGAUAGGUGAGAAUCCUAUCCGCCGAAAGACUAAGGUUUCCUGGGGCAGGCUCGUCCGCCCAGGGUAAGUCGGGACCUAAGGCAAGGCCGAAAGGCGUAGUCGAUGGAGAACAGGUAGAGAUUCCUGUACUGCUUAUCUUCGUUAACAGCGAAGGAGGGACGCAGGAGGCAAAGAACGCAUGGCGCUGGAAGCCAUGUUUAAGCGUCAAGUGUGGUAAUGAGUCAAAUGCUUGUUACUGGUAAGCACAAGGCGUGAUGAGGAGCGAAAUUAGAGUAGCGAAGGUUCAAGCGUCACACUGCCAAGAAAAGCUUCUAGUGAGAAGAUAGGUACCCGUACCGCAAACCGACACAGGUAGUCGAGUGGAGCACACUCAGGUGAGCGAGAGAACUCUCGUUAAGGAACUCGGCAAAAUCGCCCCGUAACUUCGGGAGAAGGGGUGCUGGUGUAAAAGCCAGCCGCAGUGAAUAGGCCCAAACAACUGUUUAUCAAAAACACAGGUCUCUGCUAAGUCGUAAGACGACGUAUAGGGGCUGACACCUGCCCGGUGCUGGAAGGUUAAGGAGAGCUGUUAGCGCAAGCGAAGCAGCGAACUGAAGCCCCAGUAAACGGCGGCCGUAACUAUAACGGUCCUAAGGUAGCGAAAUUCCUUGUCGGGUAAGUUCCGACCUGCACGAAAGGUGUAAUGAUUUGGGCACUGUCUCAACGAGAGACUCGGUGAAAUUAUAAUACCCGUGAAGAUGCGGGUUACCCGCGACAGGACGGAAAGACCCCAUGGAGCUUUACUGCAAUUUGAUAUUGGGCAGCUGUUAAACAUGUACAGGAUAGGUAGGAGCCGGAGAAGAUAGCACGCCAGUGUUAUCAGAGGCAAUGUUGGGAUACUACCCUUGUUUGAUGGCUGCUCUAACCAGGGCCUCUAAGCGAGGCAUGGGACAGUGUCAGACGGGCAGUUUGACUGGGGCGGUCGCCUCCUAAAGUGUAACGGAGGCGCCCAAAGGUUCCCUCAGAAUGGUUGGAAAUCAUUCACAGAGUGCAAAGGUAUAAGGGAGCUUGACUGCGAGAGCGACAACUCGAGCAGGGACGAAAGUCGGGCUUAGUGAUCUGGUGGUACCGUAUGGAAGGGCCAUCACUCAACGGAUAAAAGCUACCCUGGGGAUAACAGGCUUAUCUCCCCCAAGAGUUCACAUCGACGGGGAGGUUUGGCACCUCGAUGUCGGCUCGUCGCAUCCUGGGGCUGAAGUCGGUCCCAAGGGUUGGGCUGUUCGCCCAUUAAAGCGGCACGCGAGCUGGGUUCAGAACGUCGUGAGACAGUUCGGUCCCUAUCCGUCGUGGGCGUAGGAAAUUUGCGAGGAGCUGUCCUUAGUACGAGAGGACCGGGAUGGACAUACCGCUGGUGUACCAGUUGUCUUGCCAAAGGCAUCGCUGGGUAGCUAAGUAUGGCCGGGAUAAGCGCUGAAAGCAUCUAAGUGCGAAGCCCCCCUCAAGAUGAGAUUUCCCAUACGUAAGUAGUAAGACACCUCAAAGACUAAGAGGUAGAUAGGCUGGGAGUGGAAGAGCCGUGAGGCUUGGAGCGGACCAGUACUAAUCAGUCGAGGACUUGACCAAA
rnacentral:rRNA from 1 species